ACCACCUGAUCAUGUUAAACUUUCCUUGGUUUCCCUUCUUCCAGCCAGGAUCCCCUGACUCCAUAGUGAGUGCUCCCAGUUGUUCGUUGUGCUCAUGAAGUGACAGGCCUGCAUUUAUCUCAGGUGCCACCAUAACCAGCCUGCAUGUGGCCUCUGUGUGUAGGCUGGUCUUAAAAUAUUGCAACAAGAAUUUAAUGCCUAAAAAACCAACCGAACAAACUAGAAAAAUUACAGAUGCAAUUGGUAAUUGAUAGAAUAUUCUGGAGAAAUUGAAGGAAAAUCUUUAAAAAUACCUGAAAAUCCAGAGAAUUUCAGAUGUUUGCCUUUAUUUGAAUACUGUGUAGGCAGAGUCCUCAAACUAAAAGUGAACUAUGUUUAGUGAAGGCAGUUCUCAUUCAGAAACAGCAGAGAUAGAGAGAAGAAGGAUAGCUCUGGGAGUGUAAAAUCCCAGCUAAGAACAGUGCUGCAGUCACAGAAAUGAGCACAUCUGGCGCAGCUCUUGGAGUCCCAGCAGUGAUCCUGAGUGACCAGUUUGUACUGGAAAGAAGAUACAACAAAACAGAGUUACGUUUGGAGAAGACUGUGGUCUGCAAACUGCAGUACUGAAGCUUUACCACCUGCCUUUGAGGACUCUGCAGCAGCAAAGAGCCCCUCCAAUCUUCUGGAGACAAACUGGUGCUUUCCACACUCCUCUCUGCUGCUCUGGCACCUUGCAGGAAGAGAAAGGGGAUAAAUAUGGCCUUUUGAAGAGCAGCCAUGGCUGAGUGCUAUAUAGGACUACAGAGAAUUAUCAACAGGCUUUUGCCUUAGCAAAUGUCAUGCUACCAGAAGAAUGGAGCAGUUUGCAGUGGCAUCCAGCCAGUACCCUCUCAUGAGGAAGAAUCAAUUUGCAAGGUAUUGAGUAAGUCCUUGGGCUAUGCUGUGGAGAGGUGACCACCCAUGAAAGCCACUGACAUGAAAAAAAUGCAAGAAUCACGUAGACCAGCAUGAAUUGGGACUUAGACAACAAGAGCCUUGGACCAGAGGGACUUCAGAUACCCACAGAAAACAAGGACUCAGAUACCUGAAGAGAGCUGGGGAGGAUUUCUAGGCUGUAUCCUCCCCUGGCUCCUUCUGCACCUACAGCCCGGGCUGAGGAAUUGAUGUACCAGUGGAGAUGUGUUUGCUGGAGAAAUUGUUCCUGAGAUAUGGUUUCCUGAGGGACACAACACAUUCCAUUCCUGGGAGAGUGAUGGGCACAUCUCAGCUGGCUAAUCAAAAGUGGUCUGCAGAAGGCCUCAGUGACUUGGAUGGCAGUUCUGAGACUCCCCCAGCCUCAGCAAACUUUUCUGAUCCAAGGAACAAAAAAAACCAAAGAUGUGUCACAAGGCUGACUGGAUAUGGGAGCUGGGAAGACAGAGCUCAUUCAUCAAGAAGCCUGGAAGUCUCUCAGGGAAAGGUGGAAAACAAAUUAGUGUCUCAUCUUGAAGCUCCUAUAGGUUGUCCAGGACUGAACUGUUCCAACUAAGGAAAACAACUUUCAUUUCUGGGAGACAUCUGCCUUGCUUCUACUCUGUUACACAGAGCUUUCUCAAAAAGAGACAUAGUCAGGACUUAGAGUCUACCUUUUUUAGACAGAUCCUACUUUUCCAGUGCUAAAUGAGCAUUUACCAGAGCCACCUUCUGAGGUUGAUGUUGAAGAUUUGGGAUUUGCAAAGUUGGCUUUCCUUUCCUGGAAGGAAAUGCAGACCCCUUUUGUAACACCCCUUAAAAAAUGUCCUGUUCUAUUCCUUGUGGACAUCUCCUCCUGGCACCAGCUGGUGAUCCACUUACAAGUAGAAAGAUGGAUAGCUCUGAGGA